CAGUGUCACUUUCUCCAGACACGUCUCUUUAGCGGUUACGCCUGCUUAAACAUGCACACACAGGGCUCUCUUACACACACUUGCCGUGUCUGACCCUAGGGUCACGCUGAAGUGACUUUGAGCCCCAUGUGUAACAGGGCCUCUUUGAAAUCGGGCCUCACAUUCCUGCCCGCUCUAACGGGGGAUGUCCUGCUCGCUUCCAGCCAGAAGGAAGUUUCUGCCGUCGGGGAUUAUGCGCAGCUUCCUCACCCAGAAGCUCUCGUCUCCUCCCACUCUUAAAAAAGCAGCGCAUCCACAAAGCAGAAAGCGCCGUGAACCAAAUACCUGCCUGUCCGACCGCCAGCCUCACCUCUUUUCCGCCCCGCUCGUCUGCGCUCGUGCACUCUCAGGGAGGAGGCGGCCGCUCUCCGUCCGCUUUUGUGUGGUUGUGCAGAAGUGCCGCGGAUGGGAGGAGGAGGAGGGGAACAGCUGCUCCCCGCACAGAAGCCGGUUUCCCAGCCUGACUGGCAGCGAGAGGCAGCCAGUGCCGGCCCGUUUCCCCCGGGGGCCCCGGCUUGGUUCUCCAGCCUCCACAGCUCCGGGAGGGACUUUUUACAGCUGCAUUGAAACACGAAAUGGACCGGAGCAAGUAGGAUUCUUUCUCUUCCCAAAGGCCGGGAGCGUGUGUUCUCACAUGAACGACAGAAGCAGUCAUGGAUUAAAGCAUCGCUGAAAUUCGAUCAGGUUGCUGUCGGCUGAUGGGACUCCAGUGAAACCUGCUCCUCCUCCUCAGCAGAGCUGUUAAGCCAUCGGACGGCUCUUAGCGGCAGCCGCAGGUGCCACCUUCACCUGGACGAAAAGCCGCGUGAGCCUCAGACACACAAACACCUGAGCCAGACCAGUUUUUCUUCUUCGAACGAUAAACCUGUCUGUCAUCCUAGAAUGAAGCCACUAUCUGUUUUUGCGGUCUGUCACUCUAUCCUUUGCAACAAAAAAAAUCAUUUAUUGCAGAGUAACGUCUGUGAUCAUCUCUAAGGUGUUAUUUUUGUCUAAUUGCUAUAAUUAAUGGUUUUAAUUGCUGUAAUUUUCCCUCUUUUAGGUGUACAGAGCAGAUGAGGUACUGUUUUCAGCUUGUGGCGUAUACUGCAGAAAUGAAGCGGCGCGUGUAUGUGUGUUUGUGUGAAAAUGUGCUGCGGCGGUUCCAGCAGGUGAGUUUGACACACAAACACAGUCCUGCAUUAAAAGAGGCGGGGAACAGAGACGGACCCCACGACCUUCUGCUUUCAGACGCUGUCCUGCACAGCAGUGCCUUAAACACAGACAUAAAAGCAUACAUUUACACACAAACCCCCCUACAUGUAUACAAGCACAACUGUGUAUUUUAAAAUGUUGUUGUGAAUGCAGAUCUUUUAAUAAAUUAUCUUUUUUAACACUUUGCAGUAUCUUUGUAUAUUUCUGUUUGUAAAUUUGAAAAUUUUUGGAUCAUAGGCUUAAACCAAACGGGUAGAAAGGUUGAAAGGUACAGCAGUUCACCCCAAACUUAAUUUGUAAACCUGUCUUUAAAAUUCAGGUUAAAAUCUCAUAAUGUAAUGAUGAGAUUAGGAGCAUCAAAGUUUGAUUUUAAUCAUUGAUUUCAAUCUUUACUUAAGAUAUCAAGGUUAUAUUUACACUUAUAGUUUUUUUUACAUUAUAUAGUAGUAAAUCAUAAAAAUAAAUGACUUUAAAUGAUUUUAGUUUUCAUUAAAACUCAAUGCUACCACCACCACUCAUAGUCGCAAUAUCACAGCAUUAGUUACAUGUGUGAGUGUGUGCGUGCACAUCCUCCCUGACUUCGGGAAGCGUGCGCGCGACCCAGUGUGCUUGCAGACGUGUGUGUGUGCGCGCGCGCUCGCGCGUCCCUCUCUCUUCCCGUAGAGCGACCGGCCAGGCUGCAGAUAUCAUCCAUCUCCUUGUCACAAAGCGCUGGGGUUGCUGGGUAGGCAGCAGACAGCCGCUCGGCACUGAGGAUGGGAGCUGAAUCCUAAUUCAGAGUCCGCUCCUCUCCCCCGCCUCCCACGAUGGAAAAUCGUUAACCUCGGGAUUGGAGAACAAAGCAGAGAGCUUUAGCCGACUGUUAUCUCGAAACGCCCCUGCAACAAUAUGUUUUAAACAAGUCAGAGUCUUGGAAAGGAGACAGUGAAAAUCAGCCAAUAUAUACUCAAUUACUGCCUUCAGUAUGACUUACUGUGAGGUGAGGUGGGCUGAUGGCAGGAUGGAUUUGAAAAGAUGUCAAAGAUAUAGGAUCAAUGUUGGCUGCUGCUUUCUGAACAGCCCAAAAAACAAGAAUUAAAAGAAACUUUGAUGAAACGGAUCCUCAAUAAUGUGACAUCCAAGGAGUCUGGCAUUUGCUGCUUAAAUAAGGAGUUAUUUACAGAUUCGCCGUUUUUGUAAAGACCAAGGAAAGCUGUCUCAGACGGAGAACAAUGCAAUGUGCUCAACCUGACCUUUUUUUUCAGUGUGAUAAAUGAAACGGCUGUAUAUAAACUGUAAUGUUUAAUAACCCCUUCAAUUUUUGAAGUUUUCUGACUGCUAAAAUGAAAAAAAAUAUAUAGUCAAAGAAUCAGAUUUAAUUUCAAGAUAAGUGGUUUAAGUAGAGAGGUAAUUUGACAACAAUAAAGCAAUUUACAGUUUGAAACACUGGUAAUGCUAUAUAAUAAGGUUGUAUUUGUUAACAUUAGUUGGUUACUAUACUUACCAUGAACUAACAAUGACCAAUAUUGAAUCAUUAAUUUGAUAUUCAACAUUUUUAUUUCUGAAGUUGUUUCUCUUAUGCACAAUGAACUAAUUAUCAAAAAAUGAACAAUAGCAUUGAUAUUAACAAACAUAAACUAAGAUUAAUUAACGCUGUAAACCUGUACUGUUUAUUUUUAGUUUAUGUUAGCUAAUGCCUUAACCCAGUGGUUCUCAAACUCAAGGUUCCCACGGGUCCUUGAAAUCCUUAAAAGUUUUUAAAUCUGGGGGGAAAUAUCAAGGCCCUGAGAAGUUUUUGAAAAUGUACAUACAUAGAUACAGGUCAUUGAAAGUGCUUGAAUCUAUUUUAUGCAAGAGGUUUUCUGGAAAAAAAUCCAUAUUUUUCCCUGUGUAGUGUAGGAUAAUAUCAUACAAUUUCUAGCCUUUUAAGCACACAUGCUAAACUGUUUGCUUUAAAUGCUUUUAUCUUCUCUAUGCCAAUGAAAACGUCUCUGGUUACGUAUGUAACUGUUGUUCCCUGAGAAGGGAACGAGACGCUGCGUCUCUCUUGCCAUACUUCCUGCGUCCCUGUAACGCCAUCUUUGGCAAUAUUUCAGAUAGCGAUAUACUUCCUGGCUCCUGCGUCACCCUGUCUUUAUCGUUAAACCUCACCAUUGGUUGAAUUUGAUAUACACAUUCAGACGCACCCCUGGAGGCGUCCCCAAAGUGUCACCGCAGCGCGAGUUCCCUCCAAAGGGAACUGUAACAAUGUAUCUUAAAAGGUAAUAUGAUGUAACCUUGCUCUUACUUGAAAUGUGUCACCACAUUUAGUCCUUGAGGUUGAGGGUAUUGGACCUGGAAAGUCCUUGAAAGGUCCUUGAAUUUAAAGUUAACUAAGGUGUGGGAACCCUGAAAAGUUUUAGCAUACCCCCAAAAUGAAAAUCAUGGCAAAACGGUCUCUAACUUAAAAUUUGAAUUAAACAAAACAUAUUAAAUGAUACAAUGUAGUGCUGAUGGUUGGUAGCUAUGUUUGUCUACGGUUUGUUCACACAGAAUUUAUUAUGAAGUUAAUAAUGACAUAAAACUGGGGCCAACCUAGCACCAUUUGUGCCCCCCCAAGUUUGGGAACCACUGCUUUAAUGAAUGUUAAUGGGUUUAAUAUUAUUGUAUAAGUGUUACAUUUAUGCAUUUGGCAGACGCUUUUAUCCAAAGCAACUUAAUGCUCCUGUAUAACUCAGUGGUAGAGCAUUGCAUUAGGAGAGCAGAAGGUCAUGGGUUCAAACCCAAGGAACGCACAUAUUGAUAAAGUGUAACGCACAAGUCACUUUAGAUAGAAGCAUCUGCCAAAUGCAUGAACGUAAAAAUAUAUAAACAAGGUAUUUUUUCAUUAUACAUUCUAUCAGUAUGUGUUCCCUGUGAACCCAUGACCUUUUGCGCUGCUAACGCAAUUCUCUAUCAAUUGCGUUACAGAAAUAUCUUAAAUCUUUAAUGUUAUAUACUGUGUACUAUACGUUGUAAACGCAGGGUCCUUUGCAGGCUUUCAGUAUAGACAGCUUUAUUUCAGCCUCCUUUGUUAUUAGAAGAGUUGAAGUCACUUUCAUUGGUCCUGUGAUCUGUUUGCUCAGGCUGUUGGCCCGGACUGUGGAUGUCUUGGACAUGCAAUUCUGUUACAGCUCUUGGACCUCUUUGUUGUUUUGAACUCGUUGGACCCUUGUGAGUCUGUAGGCCUGGGAAACAGAUCCGGUCUCACACACAAAGGAAACUUUGAUUCAAGGGUGAGUAAAACAAACGCUCUGCUUGUACGUUAUCUAAAUCUACUGGCCUUUCUUCUGAAGUCGGUCCCGAGGGAUCUCUCAUAUGAAGAGGAAAGAAAAACGGAAUUAUCUUCGGUACAAGCGAAACAAUCGUAGUGCAUGAAUCCUGGAGUCCAAAACAAACAGCUUUGAGCGGGAGAAGGAAGAUCGAGACCAGCAGGAGAGCGGCUCUUCAUAUGUUAUCUGGAAAUUCAGGUCUGUUGAUCUCCACAAGAAUAAACUCUUUAACCCGAGUGUCCACGUUGAUUGGCCGGCUUGUAAAGGAAACAGUAAAAGUGUUCCUGUGGAUUUUGUGGUAGAGCAUUGCGUUAGCAACGUACUGUAAAAGGUUGUGGGUUCAAUUCAGGGAACGCACAUACUGAUAAAAUGUACAUAGCUGUAUAAUUUAACAUAGCUGUCAAAUGCAUAAAUAUAAAUGCUAAUUGGUAAAGUGUGAAUCUAGGUUUGAUUUCCAGGGCACACCGACUGAUUAAAUGGACUUCAUAAACCAUAUGUGAGGAAUGCUGUCGAUUACCACAAGCAAGCAAUUUUGAUUCUGCAAACGUCAAACUGGAGAGACGUGUAAUGUUUUUUCCUGUUAAUAAAUCAAAUAAAAUGACAUUUUCUUAUGGCCACAGGGCACACAAAGAAAUUGUAGUUGGCACAUGAAGUGAAUAUGACAAUUCAGUAGUAAUCAUUUCUACUCAUCCUCAUGUUGUUCCAAAGCAAUACAUUUUUAUUAGACAUUUCGCAAAAUGUUUUAUUUUAAAAUGAUUGAUGCUUCUUAUCACACAAUAAAAAGUAAAUAAUGACACACUGCAAGUCGAACUUCCAACUCAAAGAAUUGUCUUUCAUCUGUAACUUGUCUUUUAAUCUGUUUAUUAUGCACAAUAUUAUCAAUUCUGUACUGCAACCUUUUCACUUUUCAGAGAUUUUCGCCGUUUUGAUAGGGUUUUUAUCGUGUUAUAACAUUUUACGUCAGGCGCUGCAGACGCAACAGUGCAGUCGCAGACGUCAUCAGCACCUGAGCGCGGGCUCCUUGCUGCUGCAUUUUGCUAUCUGACGAAUUAAAAGGUCGUCGGAAACGCUCACAACAUUUCCAACCCUCAGUACGGUAAUGUGCAGAAAGAAAUUGUAUGGCUUGAAAUGUGACAGUCUCAACGUUAUAUUAGUAGAUGUCUAAAUUCAUCGGAAAGCCUACAACGCCAAAGUUCACGUGGGUGCGGAUCACAUGCUCACACAUGAGGUAAAAUUUUCCUUAAAUCAUAUUCCUCUUCUAAUUUUGUAAAUAAACAUAUUUUUAAAGUUGUAUUAGUUGCGUUUAAAUUAAAGUUGAAGACAAAUAACAUGUAGAUUACAGCAUAAUUGCUUUUGUAGCAUUCAACAUUAAAAUCAAUGAUGUGAUUGUUGCUUAUGUCAUUUUCAUUGUUUAUAUACUUUAUGGAUUUUAAAUUACACUCAUUUGAUAACAUUGUUGUACAAAUGAA